GAUGAACGCUAGCGGCAGGCCUAACACAUGCAAGUCGAGGGGUAGCAGGAUUAAGCUUGCUUAAUUGCUGACGACCGGCGCACGGGUGCGUAACGCGUAUGCAACCUACCUUAUACUGGGGUAUAGCCCGGAGAAAUUCGGAUUAAUCCCCCAUAGUACUAAUGAAUCGCAUGGUUUAUUAGUUAAAGCAUUGCGGUAUAAGAUGGGCAUGCGUCCUAUUAGCUAGAUGGUGAGGUAACGGCUCACCAUGGCUACGAUAGGUAGGGGGCCUGAGAGGGUGGUCCCCCACACUGGUAAUGAGACACGGACCAGACUCCUACGGGAGGCAGCAGUGAGGAAUAUUGGUCAAUGGGCGCAAGCCUGAACCAGCCAUGCCGCGUGCAGGAAGAAUGCCCUAUGGGUUGUAAACUGCUUUUAUUUGGGAAUAAACCUCUUUACGUGUAGAGAGCUGAGGGUACCAAAUGAAUAAGCACCGGCUAACUCCGUGCCAGCCGCCGCUGUAA
rnacentral:rRNA from 1 species